rnacentral:rRNA from 1 species
ACAGAGGGGGCAAGCGUUGCUCGGAAUCACUGGGCGUAAAGGGCGCGUAGGCGGUCUGCUAAGCGUGUGGUGAAAGCUCGGGGCUCAACCCCGAGUCUGCCAUGCGAACUGGUGGACUAGAGCACUGUAGAGGCAGGUGGAAUUCCGGGUGUAGCGGUGGAAUGCGUAGAGAUCCGGAAGAACACCGGUGGCGAAGGCGGCCUGCUGGGCAGUUGCUGACGCUGAGGCGCGACAGCGUGGGGAGCAAACAGGA